AGCAGCCGCGGUAAUUCCAGCUCCAAUAGCGUAUAUUAAAGUUGUUGCAGUUAAAAAGCUCGUAGUUGAAUUUCGGGAUCAGCAGGUCGGUCGUGCCACUGGUAUGCACUGGCCUUGCUGAUUCCUCCCUCUUGAUGAGCCGUAAUGCCAUUAAUUUGGUGUUGCGGGGAAUCAGGACUGUUACUUUGAAAAAUUAGAGUGUUUAAAGCAGGCAAGCGCUUGAAUACAUUAGCAUGGAAUAAUGAAAUAGGACGUUCGAUCCUAUUUUGUUGGUUUCUAGGAUUGACGUAAUGAUUAAUAGGGAUAGUUGGGGGCAUUAGUAUUCAAUUGUCAGAGGUGAAAUUCUUGGAUUUAUUGAAGACUAACUACUGCGAAAGCAUUUGCCAAGGAUGUUUUCAUUAAUCAAGAACGAAAGUUAGGGGAUCGAAGACGAUCAGAUACCGUCGUAGUCUUAACCAUAAACUAUGCCGACUAGGGAU
rnacentral:sRNA from 1 species